CGUGUACUCCCUCCGUUCGGAAUUAUUUGUCGUAAAAAUGGAUGUAUUUAGAUGUAUUUUAGUUCUAAAUACAUCCAUUUUUGAGACAAGUAAUUCCGAACGAAGGGAGUAGUAA
rnacentral:pre_miRNA from 1 species